UUAGGAAUCUUCCACAAUGGGCGAAAGCCUGAUGGAGCGACGCCGCGUGAGGGAUGAAGGCCUUAGGGUUGUAAACCUCUAAAAGAGGGACGAUAAUGACGGUACCUCUUGAAUAGCACCGGCUAACUCCGUGCCAGCAGCCGCGGUAAUACGGAGGGUGCAAGCGUUAUCCGGAAUCACUGGGCGUAAAGGGCGCGUAGGCGGUCUGUUAAGUCCGAUGUUAAAUCCCGGGGCUCAACCCCGGAUAAGCGUUGGAUACUGGCAGACUAGACGGUUGGAGAGGCGAGUGGAAUUACCAGUGUAGCGGUGGAAUGCGUAGAUACUGGUAGGAACACCUAUUGCGAAGGCAGCUCGCUGGACAACACGUGACGCUGAGGCGCGAAAGUG
rnacentral:rRNA from 1 species